UUAGUGGCGGACGGGUGAGUAAUGUAUGAGCAACCUGCCUUUAAGAGGGGGACAACAGUUGGAAACGACUGCUAAUACCGCAUAAAGCGGUCUGAUUGCAUGAUCGGACCGUCAAAGGAGCAAUCCGCUUAAAGAUGGGCUCAUAUCUGAUUAGGUAGUUGGAGAGGUAACGGCUCACCAAGCCGACGAUCAGUAGCCGGACUGAGAGGUUGACCGGCCACAUUGGAACUGAGAUACGGUCCAGACUCCUACGGGAGGCAGCAGUGGGGAAUAUUGGGCAAUGGGCGAAAGCCUGACCCAGCAACGCCGCGUGAAGGAAGAAGGUCUUCGGAUUGUAAACUUUUGUCUUAUGGGACGAUAAUGACGGUACCAUAGGAGGAAGCCACGACUAACUACGUGCCAGCAGUCGCGGUAAUACGUAGGUGGCAAGCGUUAUCCGGAAUUAUUGGGUGUAAAGGGUGCGUAGGCGGGAUGUAAAGUCAGAUGUGAAAUUCAGGAGCUCAACUUCUGAACUGCAUUUGAAACUUACGUUCUUGAGUGAAGUAGAGGCAAGCGGAAUUCCCAGUGUAGCGGUGAAAUGCGUAGAUAUUGGGAGGAACACCAGUGGCGAAGGCG
rnacentral:rRNA from 1 species